rnacentral:rRNA from 1 species
UACGUAGGGUCCGAGCGUUGUCCGGAAUUACUGGGCGUAAAGAGCUCGUAGGUGGUUUGUCGCGUUGUUCGUGAAAACUCACAGCUCAACUGUGGGCGUGCGGGCGAUACGGGCAGACUGGAGUACUGCAGGGGAGACUGGAAUUCCUGGUGUAGCGGUGGAAUGCGCAGAUAUCAGGAGGAACACCGGUGGCGAAGGCGGGUCUCUGGGCAGUAACUGACGCUGAGACGCGAAAGCGUGGGGAGCAAACAGG